rnacentral:rRNA from 1 species
UACGUAGGGGGCAAGCGUUGUCCGGAUUUAUUGGGCGUAAAGAGCGUGUAGGUGCCAGGUAGGUCUGCUGUGAAAACUCGAGGCUUAACCUCGAGCUGUCGGCGGAAACCUCUGGCUAGAGUCCGGAAGAGGAGAAUGGAAUUCCCGGUGUAGCGGUGAAAUGCGCAGAUAUCGGGAAGAACACCCGUGGCGAAAGGCGGUUCUCUGGGACGGUACUGACGCUGAGACGCGAAAGCGUGGGGAGCGAACAGG